rnacentral:rRNA from 1 species
GAUGAACGCUGGCGGCGUGCAUAACACACUCAAGUCGAACGAGGUAGCAAUACCUAGUGGCGGACGGGUGAGUAACGCGUGAGCAACCUGCCCUUGUGUGGGGGAUACCGUCUGGAAACGGACGUUAAUACCGCAUAACACAAGAAGGCCGCAUGACCUUCUUGUCAAAGAUUUAUUGCGCAAGGAUGGGCUCGCGUUGGAUUAGAUAGUUGGUGAGGUAACGGCCCACCAAGUCUGCGAUCCAUAGCCGGACUGAGAGGUUGAACGGCCACAUUGGAACUGAGAUACGGUCCAGACUCCUACGGGAGGCAGCAGUGGGGAAUAUUGGGCCAAUGGGGGAAACCCUGACCCAGCAACGCCGCGUGAAGGAAGAAGGCCUUCGGGUUGUAAACUUCUUUACCAGGGACGAAGAACGUGACGGUACCUGGAGAAAAGCAACGGCUAACUACGUG